GUUCCUCAGAGACUGUGGGGGGCAUGUCUCACGUUUGCCAUUUCUGAAGAUGUUACCUCAAGAAGUAUUUGUGAGGACAAAACUGUGCGUUAUUCUACAGUCCAGAAGGGUUUUACACGUAAAGUUCUCUCUUUUUUCCUCCGCUUUCUAUAUCCACAACAGUACAUUUCCAGGGUCAUAGCGUAGAUAAACUUCUAUUGUUCUUGUUCACGUACAUAAAAGACUGUCUAGUUCAGAAAAGUAAAUGCUUUUUACUUUUGCACUGACUCGGCACGUUUGCUUUCUAGACUCGAGUGAGGAGCCAUUCACCUGAUGCUUCCGGCCAAUUCCCAGCUCUGCUUCCGGCGACGCAGGGUUACCCCCGAGACGGCCGCGAGGGCCCCCAGAGCCGGUGCCGCCGGCCAGCCACGCGGAACCUCCGGGACCCGUGAAAGACGCCGAAGACUGCAGGUCCGGGGUCCUGUGAAUAAAAGCUUCCCAGAUCUCUGAGAAACCUUCACUUACAGAGAUCCCCUGACACCCGCCCUCCUAAUCUGUUCCUAUGAAUUUGAUGACUCUGGGGCCUUCAUAUGGUGGAAUUACACAGCAUCUUUCUCUGUGUGGCUGACUGACUUCACUGAACUGUCUUCAGGUUUCCUCUGUGCUGUAGCAGGUGAGGCUCCUCCGUGCAGCAGGGGGAGAAGACGAGCUUGAGAAGCCCCCUUUGGGCUGGACGGUGAUGCUGCCCAUCUUCCUGAUGGGGUGUCUGCCCGCAGCUCCCUGAGUUGUGCGAGCUGGUGAUCUGACCCCGCUGCGAUGUCAGCACUCUUCCCACUGCUCAGUCUCACAGACUCAGACUCUUUCUGAAAUGCAUCAGAAAGCCCCAAGGUCAGCACUGUUCCCACUGCUCAGUCUCACGGACUCAGACUCUUUCUGACAUGCAUCAGAAAGCCCUUUACGCGUUUUCUUGGACGGUCUGACUUCCGGGGUGGGCAGGUUGUGGUCAGCGGGGUACAGGUUCUGUAGGAUGCUGCCCCGUUGUGGGGCCCUUGCUUCUCAACGUGACGGCGAUGCAGGGACCCAACCCACCCCUGCUCCAUGCUGCACGAUGCCAGCCUAUGCUUCACUUCUGGCUCUGAGGUCCUGACGGGGUGAGGGCCAUGGGCUGCCCAUCACUGCCGAGAGAGAGAACGGGUUAGCCCGGCCGCCUGGCUGGAGGGGGAGGAAGUCACCCAAUGAUGCCGUGGGUUCUGGGAAGAAGAGCGGGACCGCGAGGAUGGAUGGCUCCCGUGACAUCAGUCCCACUUGGAGCCUUGAUGCUUCCCUUGCGCUGGUGGUGAAGGGGCAGUCCUGCUGAGCUCCAUGGCCUUGAAUUUGGAAGGAACCCUGGGUGACUUUAGGUUAGCCUUGCCUGUUGUGUGUCCUUGGAGGAGAACACGCAGCUGAGUCUGGGACUGCAGCAGCUGGGCUGAACCUAGGAGGCGACAACAGGUCAUGACCACCAGCCGGUGCCCUGACCUGAGCGGCGCGCCCAACCAGAGCCAGUCACAUCCGCCCAGCAGCGCCCGGGGGAGGCAGAGGCACCAGCCUCUUGUGUCAGCUCAGCCGCCUGUGACUUGGAGCUGAUGGGGGUGUCCUGCAAACAUGGAAUUCCCCGGUGUGUCCCGCAAGCCUUCAGGUGGGGACCCAAGGCCACCAGGAUGCAUGGCUCCCUGGCCCCCAGGACAAGAGCUGGAGAAAGGAGGUUGGCUGAAACAGAGGCCGCCCUCCUGGGCUGUGGAUGAGGUGGGAAGGCUGGUGAAACUCUUCUGUAAACGGAACUUCUCAGAGGCUAGUGUGUGUUAGCCUCUCAGCUGUGUCCGACUCUGCAAUCCCGUGGACUAUAGCCCACCAGGUUC